UUUUGAACACUAACGUUUAAUUUUAUCUAUUAAUAACAUUAAGACGUCCUCUUGUCACUUGGAACCAGUUAUACAUCAAUAAUAAUUGGUGAUAGCACAAGUGUUUUAAAGGCUAACUGAAAUAUCUUUAUACUGUUUAGUAAUCACACAACACUAAAUACAUGUUUUUAAUUUUAGAAUGACCGUGAAAGCUAUUUAUUGUACUGAAUGACUUCUACACGGAUCAGUCAGAGUUGGAAAAUGUAACUGCUUCGUUUAUUCUUGUUUGAAGGCUAGUAUAGUAUCCUGUCUCUAGUUCGAUGAGGACACUGUCGAUGUCCAUGGGCCACUUAAAAUCAGCUGAGGCGUGAGCCCAUCUGUGUCUCUACUAGAGCAAUAAAAAUAAAUAUUCUGUACACUGUUAUGGUAGGCAGCGGCUUGGCUCUGCCCCUGGCAUUGCUGACGUCCAUGAGCGACGGUGACCACUUACCAUCAGGUGGGCCGUAUGCUCGUCUGUCUACAAAGGCAAUAAAAAAAAAAAAAAAAAAAACACUAUGAAUUUUAAAAUCUUUAUAAUGCAUCUUACAAUGUGACAGACCUAUGUUCUGUCUAAUGCUGAUUAAAUUAAGAGACUUCUAUUUCAUAAAAACGAAAAUUAUUGUCCUUAUAUUUAUUAGGUAAAGAUUCCAACUAAUCAAAUUCAAAACACAAAUUUUAUUUUAUGUUGUACUAAUGAUACAUAGUCAUGCUCAUCUGUCUUAUUGUAUGAAAAAAAAAAAACUAUUUUAAACUACUCAAGCCUCAUCAUACAGAAAAUGUCGAUGGUACUAUUACCGAAACAUCCCCUGGCAUUUCAAUAACAUCUAUACCACUUUCCAUUGCAAUAAAUGCAUCUGCACAGUGGAGUAAUUUUCUGAGGAAUGCCCACUGUAGAGAACUCUUCUAAAAAUUGGUUUGAAGAAAAACAUGUUGUAUGGCCCAAGGUGCACUAAUGGGUGGAGUUUGUUUAAGACAUGGUAGAAAUUGAUGGGACUUUGAAGACUAGAAAAAGUGUAAAUGGAGAUGACCAAGCCAUCUUGAACAGUUUCACGAUGCCCUUGAAAAGAGUUUCAAAUAUAUACUUUAUAUAUAUUCAAAAGACUUAGCUUUAGUCUUGGAAUAUAGCGUAGUAUAUAUAAGUAUUCUGGUUUUUUAUGUCAUUUUUCAUUACAUAUUCGGACAGUCGGUUUACUGAGUGAUUUCAGCCGCUCAGUGGUACCUGCAUACUUUAGUUAAAUGUAAAUAAAGGAUAUUAAAAAAUGUUGUGAAUUUUCUUAAAAAAUGCGAAAAAACUUUUUCACCAACCUAUUCAAUGUUGUAUGUAUUCAAUGUUGUAUGUGUGUAUUCAAAUCAAUUCAAUAUAAACAAAAAUAUUUUUAAUCACAAA